rnacentral:rRNA from 1 species
AUACGGGGGGGGCAAGCGUUGUUCGGAAUUAUUGGGCGUAAAGCGUAUGUAGGUGGUUGAAUAAGUCAAGCGUGUAAGCCCUCGGCUCAACCGAGGAAUUGCGUUUGAAACUAUUUAACUUGAGUGCAGAAGAGGAAAGCGGAAUUCCCAGUGUAGUGGUGAAAUGCGUUGAUAUUGGGAAGAACACCGGUGGCGAAGGCGGCUUUCUGGUCUGCUACUGACACUGAGAUACGAAAGCCAGGGGAGCGAACGGGAUUAGAUACCCCAGUAGUCC